UAAAGCGUGCGCAGGCGGUUUGUAAGACUGUCGUGAAAUCCCCGGGCUCAACCUGGGAAUGGCGAUGGUGACUGCAAGGCUAGAGUUUGGCAGAGGGGGGUAGAAUUCCACGUGUAGCAGUGAAAUGCGUAGAUAUGUGGAGGAACACCGAUGGCGAAGGCAGCCCCCUGGGUCAAAACUGACGCUCAUGCACGAAAGCGUGGGGAGCAAACAGGAUUAGAUACCCUUGU
rnacentral:rRNA from 1 species